rnacentral:rRNA from 1 species
AUUGAACGCUGGCGGCAUGCUUUACACAUGCAAGUCGAACGGCAGCGCGGGCUUCGGCCUGGCGGCGAGUGGCGAACGGGUGAGUAAUACAUCGGAACGUGCCCAGUAGUGGGGGAUAGCUCGGCGAAAGCCGGAUUAAUACCGCAUACGACCUGAGGGUGAAAGCGGGGGAUCUUCGGACCUCGCGCUAUUGGAGCGGCCGAUGGCAGAUUAGCUAGUUGGUGGGGUAAAGGCCUACCAAGGCGACGAUCUGUAGCUGGUCUGAGGGGACGACCAGCCACACUGGGACUGAGACACGGCCCAGACUCCUACGGGAGGCAGCAGUGGGGAAUUUUGGACAAAGGGCGAAAGCCUGAUCCAGCAAUGCCGCGUGUGUGAUGAAGGCCUUCGGGUUGUAAAGCACUUUUGGCGGGAACGAAAAGGACUGUGCCAAUACCACGGUUCGAUGACGGUACCCGCAGAAUAAGCACCGGCUAACUACGUG